UUCUUUUCCCUUCAUGUCUCCCUGUCUCCUGAACUCACCACGUUGCACUUGGCAGGGGUGUUUUGGGGCCACCACAAGCCCCUUGUGUGAAAUGGCAGAGCUGGGGAGGAAUGAGGCUAGGCAGAGUUGCCCUGCGCUAGAUGAGGAAAACGUUAGUUCAAUUAAGCCUUUCUUUCACUCUACUAAUUACUGUGGCAUUUGUAAACAUAUGCCUGAUGGUGCUUUAUCUUUGAGAUGGCUUCGACUCUACUUCUGAAGGCCAUUCUUGCUAGAGCUGCCUACGAUUAUUAUUUCCAUAGGUGCAGCAUACAGAAACAUGGCCCCAUGGUGGGUCCAUGAUCCCAUGUUCCA